UUACGGUCAUAUCACGUGGUAACACCCGUUCUCGUACGAUCAUCGAAGUUAAGCAAACGUCGAGACUGGUCAGUAAUUAAAUGGGUAACCGCUUGGGAAUACUAGCUGCU